UAUUUAUUCCCUUUAUGUUGCCCUUGUUGUUUUACUGUUGUAGUUAUUACUGAUGUCGUUGUUGUUGGACAGGACAGAGAGAAAUGGAGAGAGGAGGGGAAGACAGAGAGGGGGAGAGAAAGACAGACACCUGCAGACCUGCUUCACCGCCUGGGAAGCGACUCCCCUGCAGAUGGGGAGCCGGGGGGGGGGCUCGAACCGGGAUCCUUAUGCCGGUCCUUGCACUUUGCGCCACCUGCGCUUAACCUGCUGCGCUACCGCCUGACUCCCGAGAAUUUUUUUUCUUUGGGGGGGGCAGAUAGCACUGGGGGCCUGGCCUCUCUGUUAUUUAUUAAACAGUCCCCUUCUUUCCAGGUCUGCGUGAGCUACUUAAUUUGGGGUUCGCCUCCCCCCAGGCUGACCAAAGACACGGGGGUCCCCCAAAAUCGAGGGAGGGGCUGGGAGAUUAUGAGCCUCCUUUAAUUUUUCCCCAGCUCCCACCGGUCAUUUUGGGGGCCGGGGGCCACAGCAGAAGCAACCGGCAGAACGUGAGCCCCAGUGGUCAUUCCGGAAUCCCGUCUGCAGCUGGGGAACAGCCCCCCAUCGUGAGAUCGGGCAGUGAUCACCCCCAGUGUUUGGGGGUUCAGCGUGAGUCCUCCGCUGGAGGCUUCCGAAGGUGGCUGCAAGGAAAACGGGGAAGAGUGAAAAAAGGAGGCAGCCCUCACCUCUGGGACAUGAUCUUGAAGGCAUCGGGCAGGUAGCACUGCACGUUCUCCAUCUGGAAGGGGUCAGCGUCGCAGAUCUUGUCGUCUGUGCGCCCGUAGUUGGCGUUCUCCACCAUGAC